UUCACAGAGAGCCAAGCUGGGGACAUGGA
rnacentral:piRNA from 1 species